CGGGCGGCCGUGACCCUGCUGGAGUCCGGGGGGGACCUCCAGCCCCCCGGGGGGUCCCUGCGCCUCCUCUGCCGAGGACAAGGAUUCCAGUUUGGGAAUUUCACCGUGUUCUGGAUCCGUCAGAAACCCGGGAAGGGGCUGGAAUUCGUCGCAGGGAUCCACCCUGGCGGCAGCACCGACUACGCGCCAUCGGUGGAGGGCCGGUUCACCAUCACCAGGGACAACGGGCAGAGCUCGGUGACGCUGAGCAUGAACAACCUCCAGGAUGAGGAUUCCGGGGUUUAUUUCUGUGCCAGAUGUUUUGAUGAUUAUUACGGUGCUUAUGCUGGUGGUGUUGAGGACAAUCGCGACUGUGGCCCCUCCACUCAUGAUGGAUCCAAAAACGUCUCCAAUUCCUGGGUGUUUCUCCCCCAAUCCCAGCCCUGGGCCCCAAAUCUGGGCCCUUUCACCCCAAACUCCCCCCCUGCUGCCCCCACUCCCCCGUUUCUCUGGAGCCGGCAGCCUCUGACCCAGGGCCGAGUCUUCUGUGCCGUGGGGAGAUCCCAAAGGAGGGAAGGUGAAUUUGGGGUGGGAUUUUAUGGUUUUGUGCAGAGCCAGGGGCUCAAGGCCGGAGCCAGAGGAGAUCGAUGA